AGCUAAAUCCCUCCCAGCAGUGGGGAAAGCUGAGAACCAACUCUUAGUCAUGCAACAGAAUCCUCAAAAGCUUAAAAACUUGAUCACAACCAGUUAUAGAUUUCUUUAUUCCUUCUCUACUCCCACUGCUUCACUUGACUAGCUUUAA
ensembl:misc_RNA Y_RNA Y RNA